GAUGAACGCUGGCGGCGUGCCUAAUACAUGCAAGUAGAACGCUGAAGGAGGAGCUUGCUCUUUCCGGAUGAGUUGCGAACGGGUGAGUAACGCGUAGGUAACCUGCCUGGUAGCGGGGGAUAACUAUUGGAAACGAUAGCUAAUACCGCAUAACAGUAGAUAUUGCAUGAUAUUUGCUUGAAAGGGGCAAUUGCUCCACUACCAGAUGGACCUGCGUUGUAUUAGCUAGUUGGUGAGGUAACGGCUCACCAAGGCGACGAUACAUAGCCGACCUGAGAGGGUGAUCGGCCCCACUGGGACUGAGACACGGCCCAGACUCCUACGGGAGGCAGCAGUAGGGAAUCUUCGGCAAUGGACGGAAGUCUGACCGAGCAACGCCGCGUGAGUGAAGAAGGUUUUCGGAUCGUAAAGCUCUGUUGUAAGAGAAGAACGAGUGUGAGAGUGGAAAGUUCACACUGUGACGGUAUCUUACCAGAAAGGGACGGCUAACUACGUG
rnacentral:rRNA from 1 species